UACGGAGGGUGCAAGCGUUAUCCGGAUUCACUGGGUUUAAAGGGUGCGUAGGUGGGUUGGUAAGUCAGUGGUGAAAUCUCCGAGCUUAACUUGGAAACUGCCAUUGAUACUAUCAGUCUUGAAUAUUGUGGAGGUUAGCGGAAUAUGUCAUGUAGCGGUGAAAUGCUUAGAUAUGACAUAGAACACCAAUUGCGAAGGCAGCUGGCUACACAUAUAUUGACACUGAGGCACGAAAGCGUGGGGAUCAAAC
rnacentral:rRNA from 1 species